rnacentral:rRNA from 1 species
GACUCCUACGGGAGGCAGCAGUAGGGAAUAUUGGACAAUGGGCGAGAGCCUGAUCCAGCCAUCCCGCGUGCAGGAAGACUGCCCUCUGGGUUGUAAACUGCUUUUAUACAGGAAGAAAAAGAGUCAUGCGUGACUUACUGACGGUACUGUAUGAAUAAGCACCGGCUAACUCCGUGCCAGCAGCCGCGGUAAGACGGAGGAUGCAAGUGUUAUCCGGAAU